UACGAAGGGGGCUAGCGUUGCUCGGAAUCACUAGGCGUAAAGCGCACGUAGGCGGAUUGCUAAGUCAGGGGUGAAAUCCUGGAGCUCAACUCCAGAACUGCCUUUGAUACUGGCAACCUUGAGUCCGGGAGAGGUGAGUGGAACUGCGAGUGUAGAGGUGAAAUUCGUAGAUAUUCGCAAGAACACCAGUGGCGAAGGCGGCUCACUGGCCCGGUACUGACGCUGAGGUGCGAAAGCGUGGGGAGCAAACAGG
rnacentral:rRNA from 1 species